GGCCCCGUAGCUCAGCUGGAUAGAGCAUCGGAUUUCUAAUCCGAGGGUCGCACGUUCGAGUCGUGCCGGGGUCACCA
rnacentral:tRNA from 1 species